ensembl:lncRNA
ACGGAUAAUUUCUCAGUCUCUGCGGUGGCUACACAGCAAACAGUAGGAACACUGCUAAGUGGACCCGCUCUGGGGCUCGCAUCCAGGGCUCCCCGCAUGGAGCCAGGCGGCCUCUGACCCCAGAGGGGUGUCCUGCACUUCCAGGUCAUCGUUUGGAAGGGCAACCCCAGUGGAUCAAGAGUGAAAAGUGCGCCCUGGGCGGCGCUGCCACACCUGCAGGUCUAGCGCCACAGGUAAAGGAGGGGCUGCUCAGAAGGCGGGGUUCCUGCCUGGGGGCAACCGUCCAGCUGACCAGCGGCUGCCCGGGAGGGUGGCCCUCCCGUGCUCUGACCUAAAACAGCCUUCGCCCUGGGAGCUCCCCCGGGCCAGUGGAGCCAAGCCCGCGGGAGUCACGGCGGUCUGCUCCUCCGCCCUUGUCUCCAUCCCGGUGGCCAGUGUGGUGUUAAUCCACCACUAAGGUCCUCAGAUGUCUGGUCUGGCUCCUCAUUUCACAGGGGAAAGCCAAAAUCUGGGGUCGGAUCCAUUCAUUGAAUAUUUAUGGGGACUCUCCUGUGGGCAGUGGUCAUGGGGGUGCAAAGCUCGCACAUGGCUGUCUUCUGGGGGCGUGGCGGUGGGUGGGAGAGAGGGGCUCCGGCCGUCCGGCCUACAGCGCAGGGGUGAGCUGGGCCUUGGCCCCCGCCUGCUCCCCCAGGCUCUCCUUGGAGCAGCCACACUCUCCUGUGGGCCACGGUGCCAUGUCCAGUCUACAGGUGUCCCGGGGCAGGACAGAGUAACCGGAUCUAAAGUCUUCAGACAGUUGGGAGGAGGCCCCAGAGUGCACAGUGGGGCCCCGUGCACUUCGCUCCAACCACAGAGUUUACGCCUCCUGCUCUUGCACUCUCGGUUGGCAUUUCCUGCUUCUCAUCUCAGAAACGGGGACAUGGGGCCUCCCGCAUUUCACUCUAGACUCUCUUUUUUUCUUCCUUAUUUGGGAUCCUAGUUCCCCAAUCUGGGAUCAAACCCGAGUUCCCUGCAGUGGAAGCGUGGAG